GCCUGUCUUAGCUGAACAAAUCCUAAUACUUCGAAUAAAUGGAGUAUUGAAGGUCAGCACAAUAAUUGAUAGAUGUACCUUCACACAAAGGAAAGAGCCAAAUUUCAAGAUACAAAUAUAAUAAUGAGGUGAUCAAAGCCUAGUGCAGGGAAAGGCAACUUUUGGAACUCCAGAUAUUGUGGACUACAUCCCCUAUAAUGCUCUUACACCCAUAAUGCUGGCAAAGCAUCAUGGGAGGUAUAGUCCAAAACAUCUGCAGUGCCAAAGGUUGCCUAUGCCUGGCCUAGUGGGUGCAAGAGUGAAAAGAAACCCUAUUGUAAUACUUUACAAACGUAUCCAGAGGGUCUAAAUAAUAUGUUCAUACACACACCACAGAAUUGGAGAUGAUACCCUUAUUGAAGUAUUAAGUAAAGCUUUAAAAAAAACUGCUCACUGUGUAAUUCCAAGUGGCAAACCCCAUGGAACAAAACAGAGGUAGCUUGCGGUUAGUUAAAGAAAUGUUAUACCACUAUUAAAGCUCCCUGUGUAUUGCCACAGAUAAACAUAAGUAUUGAUCAAGUUGAACAUAGACCAUAAUAAUAAGGCUCUAUUAUAGAUAUG